UUUCAACCUAACAACCUGAAACAGACCAGAGCGGCAAAUGACCAACUGUCCCCACCCAGCACCAAGAAUAACCUGCCAACCCCUGUAUCCCUGUGUGAAAUGGAACCAUCCAGUGUUUACGAUUGCUGCCUGUUCUGAGCAGUCAUGUGAUGUUUUCUCACAUCUGUUCCCCAUCACCCUAAAGUGGGCCCAACUCAAUCCAGUCCGCAGUCUUUCUGACCAAUUACACAACUGCUUGUGUUCCACUUUUUAUGCCACCUUUCCCUGAGGGAAGCAACAUUGUGAGCACGAUACUGACCAAGGCUUACAGGAUGACCUGAAGGAUUUUCAGUCUUAGAAAUGUGUACAGAGUCCGGCUUGGAUAUCCAAAUUAAGGAUUGGAGCAGGGGGACUGAAGUAAAAAAGGGCCAUCCAAACAAACAUCACAUACCAGCAGCCUCCCCUAGCAUGACAACACCUCACUGACUGGGUCAUGCGACAUGGAACCUUAGGACAAGCUGUGGCAACUGAUUAUGUGGACUUCUCGGACCCAGCGAAGACCACCACGUGACUGGGGAUCCCAACAACGAAUGUAAAGAAUUCCCCCUAUAAAAAUAGUCCGGGUCAUGGUUUACUCACUAGCUGACUGUCUAAAUAAGUAAUUGCCAUCAGUUUCCUCAAGGGGGCUGAAAAUGUUUACUGGCCCAUCUCGAAUGGUCCUCCAGAGUCCCCUUUGGAAGUGUCCACAUCUUAAACUGUUGCUCAGUCGCAUAUUGAUACAUUUUGACAGAUCACGCUGGGUGGAACAUUCCACGGACCCCUCAUGGGGUAGAUAUGGGCAGACACCCAUCCAGGCAGGCGUCAUAUGGUGAUAUUAUAUCCAUGUUUGUAUACGUUUCGCAUUUCUUAUUGUCUAGUCAUAUCUAAAUAAAAGCUGCUCAUAAUUCUUCCCUGUUUGAAAUCCGAAAA